GACGUAGGGCGCAAGCGUUGUCCGGAUUUAUUGGGCGUAAAGAGCUCGUAGGCGGCUUGUCGCGUCGACUGUGAAAUCCCGCGGCUCAACUGCGGGUCUGCAGUCGAUACGGGCAGGCUAGAGUUCGGUAGGGGAGACUGGAAUUCCUGGUGUAGCGGUGAAAUGCGCAGAUAUCAGGAGGAACACCGAUGGCGAAGGCAGGUCUCUGGGCCGAUACUGACGCUGAGGAGCGAAAGCGUGGGGAGCGAACAGG
rnacentral:rRNA from 1 species